GCGGGUAUAGUUUAGUGGUAAAACAUUAGCCUUCCAAGCUAAUGAUGCGGGUUCGAUUCCCGCUACCCGCU
rnacentral:tRNA from 1 species